rnacentral:ncRNA from 1 species
UCUAGCCCGUGGGCCCCGACCCUCAGCCGUCAGCCCUGGCGCACCUUCCCCGGUGCCAGGUCCCGACGGAUGGGGAUCAGGGCCGACGAGCACAGCCCG